rnacentral:rRNA from 1 species
AUUGAACGCUGGCGGCAUGCCUUACACAUGCAAGUCGAACGGCAGCAUGAUCUAGCUUGCUAGAUUGAUGGCGAGUGGCGAACGGGUGAGUAAUACAUCGGAACGUGCCCUGUAGUGGGGGAUAACUAGUCGAAAGAUUAGCUAAUACCGCAUACGACCUGAGGGUGAAAGUGGGGGACCGCAAGGCCUCAUGCUAUAGGAGCGGCCGAUGUCUGAUUAGCUAGUUGGUGAGGUAAAGGCUCACCAAGGCGACGAUCAGUAGCUGGUCUGAGAGGACGAUCAGCCACACUGGGACUGAGACACGGCCCAGACUCCUACGGGAGGCACCAGUGGGGAAUUUUGGACAAUGGGCGAAAGCCUGAUCCAGCAAUGCCGCGUGUGUGAAGAAGGCCUUCGGGUUGUAAAGCACUUUUGUCCGGAAAGAAAUGGCUCUGGUUAAUACCUGGGGUCGAUGACGGUACCGGAAGAAUAAGGACCGGCUAACUACGUG